CCCUGAUUGAUUUUUACAGGUAACAUAAUUAGAUAACACAUCUACCUAUGUUUUAUGACCCCAAAUAAAUGGCCAACAUCUCAAGAUUGAAUAUCCGAAUAAAUGUUCACCAUUGGAUGUUGACCAUGCAAGAGGGUGGACAUAACUAAGAGGAUGUCACAUGUUGUACUUUAUCAGGAUUUGUUCUCAUAAUGUUAAUAGGAUUAAAAGUAAAUAUGAUGAUAUCAAACAAACACUUAUGUUUAUAAAUAACCCACCUGCUGUAGUGGGUAUGUGUGAAAUAUUUUUAACUAAAAACACUACAGAUAAUGAAUUACAAAUAACUGGUUAUUUAUCUGAAAGGAAGAAAAAAAUGUUCAAGACAAAACAACAUUGAAAUAGGAGGUAUUGACACAAUGUGGUUUGAAGUAAAACCAGAUUAUGAAAAAAAUAACUUUUGCUAUGUUUUGUGUACAGACCUCCAAAGUCAACAAUAGACUGGGUUGAUGAUUUUGAAAAAGAACUAGGAAUGACAGUGACCAUUUAUUUAGAUAUAUUAUUAUUGAGUGAUUUUAAUAUGAAUUUUAAAGCACCAAGCAAACCUUCUAAAGAUGGUGAGUGUUUUAGAAUCGUUCGAUAUUCAACAAUUGAUUGAAGAUGCUACAAGGUUCACAAAGGAUUCUAGUACAUCGAUUGAUCUAGAUAGUGACCAUUAACAUAUUUUGUUUAACAAGGAAAGAAGUUAAUAAAGACGAAAAGAAUACACACAGUACAAUCACAUAAAGGAGUUAAAAUGACCAAAAUGAAUUUCUAUUAGACCUAUAAAGUACAAAUUCUUUAUAAAAUUGAAUUUGAAUCCUUCUGUCUGUCUUCAAUUAUGUUAUGAUAAGUUGAACAAAGUUUUAGAUAAUCAUGCUCCUGUUGAUGAAAAAAGAGUUAAACAGGAUAGGCAAUCUGAUUGGUAUAAUAGUGAAAUUAGUUAUGCUAGGAACAUGAGGGAUAAAUAUAAUGCACUUGGAUUGUGAAGUGAAUAUAUAUUUUAGAGAAAUAAAACUAAACAAAGAAUAGAGAACUAAAAAAAAAACAUUAUAAAAACAUGGUAAAAGAAUCUAAUGACUCAUAUUUUUUUUAUGGAAAUGCCUUCAUAGUCUAAACCCUAAGGUAAAACAUCCCCAAAUGAGUUAACUACAGAUGAUAACAACACAACGAAAAAUAAUAAAAAAAUCAAUAGCAGAUACUUUUAACAAUAUUUUGACUACCUGUGCCGAAAAAGUAAGUGAGCAAAGAGACAAUACAUCUGUUGACAAGGCGGAUUUCAAUAAUCUUAGCACAUUCAUUGAAAAUCAAUUAGUACAAGAAAAUCACGAGAAAUUUACCUUAACACCAAUAAAGAUAAAUGAGCUAUUUGAUGAGUUAACAAAACCUGAUGUAAAUAAAUCAUCGGGUCUGAUAACAAUGGACCCCAAAUCCUUAAAAUAAGUGCCCCAUAUAUUGCCUCUCCUCUCACAUAUAUAUUCAACAGAAUGAUAGAUACUGGUGUAUAUCCUUCAUUACUGAAAACUGCUAAGGUAAUACUAGUUUACAAAGAUGGUGACAAGGUUUUAGCAACAAAUUACAGACCCAUAUCUGCUCUUUUAUCUCUAUCAAAAGUAUUUGAAAGGCAUGUAUCAAAUAACAUGUACAAGUACUUGUCUAUAAAUUUAAACUUUUACAUCCUACACAAUCAGGUUUCAGGCCACAUUAUGCUUGUCAAAUGCACUUAUUGAUAUCAUUGACAAAUGGCUGCAAGAAAUGAAUGAUGGUAAUUUAAACCUUGCACUACUUUUGGACUUCAAAAAAGCAUUUGAUCUUGUAGAUCAUGAUAUUUUUUGCUUAAAGCUUGAUAUUUAUGGAUUCAGUGAAUCUGCAGUAGGUUUUUUCAUGUCAUACCUAAGUAAUAGAACACAGAAAGUAAACAUUUGCUAAAUUAAUUCUGAUAAAAAAGAUGUGAAAUUUAGUGUCCCCCAAGGAUCUUUACUGGGUCCUGUAUCAUUUGUCUUGUUUAUGAACGACUUUCCCCUUUGCAUUACGAAAUUGUAAAGCUGACUUGUAUGCUGAUGGUACUACUCUUCAUCAAUCCUUGAAAAACAUAGAAAAAUUUACAUGAUGAUGUACAAGAAGAUUUAUUCACAGUUGAAGAAUGGUGCAAAAUGAAUAAUAUGUUCAUCAACACUAAAAAAACAAAAUGUUAAGGUACUGGAACAAGUCAGAAGUUAUCAACUCUAUCUUUUCAACCAAAUUUAUCAAUGAAUUAAGAAACACUGCAAAAGUGAUCAUGUGAAAAAUUAUUAGGUGUUAAAAUUGACAGCACACUUAGCUGGACAAAUCAAAUUGAUCAAGUUUGUGCUAUCAUUUCAUCAAGAAUGUACCUUUUUCUAAAUUAAAGAAAUGUUUAGAUAUUAAUGCCAGGAAAGCAUGUUAUAAUGGAUAUAUUCUGCCGCUCAUCGAUUACUGCUGUAUGGUUUGGGGAGAAUGUAAAAAUGAAGGGAUAAUAAGAAUAUUAAAACUUUAAAAAAAGAGAAGCAAGAUUAAUUGUUGAUGCAGACCCUCUAUCCCCAUCAGCCCCUUAUUUAAAGAACUUGGAUGGAUGACAAUAGAAAACAGAAUAAAAUACCACAAAUAUUUACUGCUAUAUAAAUGUAUGCGGAAAGAAGCACCACAGUACCUACUUCAAAAGUUUCAACUGAUAUCUGUUAAUAAUCCUUAUGCUUAAGGGGUAUUACUGAAGGUAAUUCAAUAGUUCCUAAGCCAAAAACUGACCUGUUUUAAAAAAUCUUUUGCUUAUUCUGGAUCAGUUUUAUGGAACGGAC
rnacentral:lncRNA from 1 species